UGGUCAGCUGGUGUUGUGAAAUGUUGGGUUAAGUCCCGCAACGAGCGCAACCCUUAUCCUUUGUUGCCACCAAUAUGGUUGCGGACUCAAAGGAGACUGCCAGUGACAAGCUGGAGGAAGGUGGGGAUGACGUCAAGUCAUCAUGCCCCUUACGAGUAGGGCACACACGUACACAAUGGUGCAUACAGAGGGAGGCGAAGUGGCGACAUGGAGCGAAACUCAGAAAGUGCAUCAGUAGUCCGGAUUGGAGUCUGCAACUCGACUCCAUGAAGUCGGAAUCGCUAGUAAUCGCGAAUCAGAAUGUCGCGGUGAAUACGUUCCCGGGCCUUGUACACACCGCCCGUCACCCCAUGGGAGUGGGUUGUACCAGAAGUAGAUAGUUUCACUGAAAGGAGGGCGUUUUCCACGGUAUGACUCAUGACUGGGGUGAAGUCGUAACAAGGUAGCCGUA
rnacentral:rRNA from 1 species